rnacentral:rRNA from 1 species
GAUUAGGGACUUACCUUUAAUAAAAGAAAAUGAUGGACUCAUAUGGGGAACAUCAGCGUCUGGAGCUGGCAGAGGCUUAUCAUUUGUGGUCAAACCAACAUUUAUCUUUAAAUUGAACACAUGAAUUGUUCCUUUAUCACUAGAUACAGCCAAAUACUGUAAAUUAUUUGAGAAAGCCAAGCUAUAUAUCUCUGCUCUGUCAGCACCUCUCCUUACCUGCAACAGAACAAAGCAGAACAACAUUAA